CUCCAGUCAGGCAAUAGAUGUUUGUUCUCAAAGACGCCAUUCACUUUUGGGUGCUUUCGGCUGCGCGGCGGAGAGGAUCACCAUGGCGGCGGCCGGGAAUGGAUUCUAGUUCCGAUCAGAUCCGAGUGCGCAGGUUCCCCUUGCCGGUGAUUGGGGGCGGCGAGUACACGCCGGCGGCUCACACCGUCGCAGAUCUGCUGAGCAAGGUAGCCGAGUCCGACAUUGGUGAGGUGGGGGAUGCGCCACCGGCGCUGCAGCUAGACCUGAAGGGCACAGGUUUGUGCGUCCAUUAGCUUGACGGCGCCGGACUCAGAACAGUUAAAGGGCACAGACGUCGGGUUAGACAAGAGGGGUCAUGUUGGACGGGCACCUACAGAACGGCCCCCCCUAUGCUAGCAGAGUGUGCACUCUCGAGAAAACAAUCACGGGAUAUGCAAAGAAGAAGACUCAAACUGUUGUAGUACCUGAAGUCGGCAGCAUAUUUGACUCACUGGGAGAAGUGUAUGACUACAAUCUGUACUCGGGAAAUUGAAUAUGAAAUUAGGCAUGGAAAGAACAGACUGGACGUCAGAGAACCAAGUGCAUGCAAGAGAUAGUGUGUUGAUGCUCAGUGAGUGUUUCUUCAAUCUCUUAUAUUCAGAAUUGGUAGUCGCUAACUCUGUGCAUUCGGUUUAUUUGGUUCGGUAAAUAAGAUAUUUUUUGGUUUGUGCAAUAUCAAUAUUUCAGCAAGUAUGGUGUGAAAUUAAAAUACGGUUUGGUUUCGGUAUACACCAAACUAUUUCAGUAUAGUUUUGGUAGAUACCAAAUUAACAAAAUUAGACGUGAAUUUAGUAAUGAGGCAACACUUUUGAAACCAUUUGAAGACAGCUAGAUACAGGAUUAAUGUGAUUGUUGGCUGUGGCAACAGUGCCUUUGUUUGCUCACAAGGCAAUUUUGAGACAAAGGGACCAAUUCAGAGCCAAAUGCAGGGUACCCUGUGAACCUAGUUAGCACACAAACUAUCUUGUGCAUGUAAUUCUGCUGUCUGCAGUUCUGCCAAUAACACAAAAUUAGCAAUACACAUUUGACAAGCUUUGUGUAAUUGAGCCAUAUUGCUGAGUCUGUUGCCAGUUUGUGUUAGGAUACUCAGGAAUCUCAUAUCUUUCAAAUUCUCCAACACCAAACAGUAGGGCAGGUUAGGAUCUGGUAUAUCACAACUCACAGCCAUCCGAAGAUCUGAAGAAAUAAGAACACCAAAGAUAAACUAUUACCUGCAAGUUCUUCUAAAUCCAUAAAAUCAAAGCGAAAUAGCCAACAUCAAUGAAGUUGAGACAUUUGUAAAGCACUAUAAUAGUAGUGAGCGAUCUUUGCAUUAAAGACUUGUGCCUUUAUCUUUAUGGACUAUGGUGAAGGAAUUCAUGCAGCUUAUUAGGCUGUGCGGGACGGUCAGAGAAUGCGCCUAAGCAGGUCGGCGCCCGAUGAUGGAGAGGCGUAGUGUUGCAGCGAGUGCAGGGAGGGGAAGGGAUCAGACGAGAGGGCGAGCCGGUCGCGCAUCAGAUGGCAGAGUGCCGCUGGAGGCUUGGUGGUGCAGCGCCAGUGAGCCAGUGGUGGCUGGUGAGUGUGCUGCUGCCAUUGCUUGCGUGCGAUGGUGCGUGUCUGGUAGGCGUCUACACAAGGCCAGGUUCCAGGUCGUUAGUGAGGCCAGGAAUAUGCAUUGAGAUUCCUGCAGUUGGUUUAUUCUGAAAGUGUUAUUCCGCACCAUGAGCCUUACAAGCUGGAGCUUGACGGGCAUGCCAUGUUGAAAAACUAUGGGCCAGAUCUUGGCUUGAAGGCAAACAGGACGGGCACAUCCGUCCGCAUGAUGCAGUUGAAAGACGACAAGCUUUACCCAGGAAGUGCUCCCCGUGGGCCGUGGCGGUGUUUGAUGAACCUGAGUUUUCAGGAUGAAUUCAUGUGUGGCCAAAAGAAACCUCACUGGGACAGGAUAUUCUGGAUGUACAACAAGCAGAAACUCCAACACGACUUGCGCGAAUGCUAAAAUUUCAUGGUUGCCGCUGAUAGUGGAUGAUGUCUGGUGCCUUUAUGAGUUCGACAUCAAACGCAUAACUCUGUAGGUGAUGGACCCAAUGUUGGCAUUGGCCCCGCUUAGGCAAAUGAUGAAGAAGCAUGCCCGGACAAGCAAGCUUAUUCUGCACAGCCUAUGGUGAUGUCUUCGUGAAUUCUUUCCAGACUAGCAUUUUCCUACUUUCUCAUGCACUUACAAAUACUCCCUCCGUUCCUAAAUAUUUGUCUUUUUAGAGAUUUCAAAUGGACUAUCACAUACGGACGUAUAUAGACAUAUUUUAGGGUGUAGAUUCACUCAUUUUGCUCCUUAUGUAGUCACUUGUUGAAAUCUUUAGAAAGACAAAUAUUUAGGAACGGAGGGAAUACAACUCUGCAUACAUCCCAGCCGCAGCAGGUAUUCCCUAGUGUUUGUGUUCUGGAUUCCAUUUCCGUGCUCAGCGGGCAGUUUUCUAGUACUGAUCAACAACACAAAUUGAAACAUAGCGCUGACAGUGGGUUUUAUGUGCUCCAUUAUAUGCAAGAGUUCGAUGGUGUCAUGCUCAAGACGACUCCUCCCAACACCUGUAACUUUUGGCUCAUCGACAGAUCGUCUUGGCAGUUGCACGCAACAGCAUGAGCAGAUCGGUCCAGAACGUCGUGGCUGACUCUAGCAAACAGCUGUCCGCUAUGCAUGUGGGUCCGUCACAACCCUAUACGGUCGACAAUACCUGACCAGCCCAUAUCCCGAAGGAAACGAGCGCCUACCGAUUCCAGGAGUAUGCGAGCUCGUCCGCGCUUGCGGAUUUUCGAGGCGGAAUCCACUACUUUAUCCAAAGCUGAAGAUAGUAUUAACUCUUCAACGGAGGGACUGAGGAAAAAGGCUGGCUUUGCAAACCAACAAAAGGCACAGCAUAAUUACGGAGCACAACAGAAGCAAGCUAUGCAAUUAACAGAAGAAGUUAUGCAAAUUAGUUAUGCGUUUACACAAAUCAACAGUGUGAUAAUGGACAAACUGAAAUGGCAGGGUAAGCAGAUUGAGCAGUA